GCCUUCGUGGUGUAAUUGGAAGCAUACUCGAUGCUUAUUCGAGAGGUUGAGGGUUCGAGUCCCGGCAAAGGUA
rfam:Stegodyphus mimosarum contig40676, whole genome shotgun sequence.